rnacentral:rRNA from 1 species
UGGGGAAUUUUGGACAAUGGGCGCAAGCCUGAUCCAGCCAUUCCGCGCGCAGGACGAAGGCCUUCGGGUUGUAAAGCACUUUUGUCCGGAAAGAAAAGCUCUCGGUUAAUAGUCGAGGGUCCUGACGGUACCGGAAGAAUAAGCACCGGCUAACUUCGUGCCAGCAGCCGCGGUAAUACGAAGGGUGCAAGCGUUACUCGGAAUUACUGGGCGUAAAGCGUGCGUAGGUGGUGGUUUAAGUCAGAUGUGAAAGCCCUGGGCUCAACCUGGGAACUGCAUUUGAUACUGGAUCACUAGAGUGCGGUAGAGGAUAGUGGAAUUCCCGGUGUAGCAGUGAAAUGCGUAGAGAUCGGGAGGAACACCAGUGGCGAAGGCGACUAUCUGGACCAGCACUGACACUGAGGCACGAAAGCAUGGGGAGCAAACA